ACUCCUACGGGAGGCAGCAGUGGGGAAUCUUGGACAAUGGGGGCAACCCUGAUCCAGCCAUGCCGCGUGAGUGAUGAAGGCCUUAGGGUCGUAAAGCUCUUUCGCCUGUGAUGAUAAUGACAGUAGCAGGUAAAGAAACCCCGGCUAACUCCGUGCCAGCAGCCGCGGUAAUACGGAGGGGGUUAGCGUUGUUCGGAAUUACUGGGCGUAAAGCGCGCGUAGGCGGAUUAGUCAGUUAGAGGUGAAAUCCCAGGGCUCAACCCUGGAACUGCCUUUAAUACUGCUAGUCUUGAGUUCGAGAGAGGUGAGUGGAAUUCCGAGUGUAGAGGUGAAAUUCGUAGAUAUUCGGAGGAACACCAGUGGCGAAGGCGG
rnacentral:rRNA from 1 species